rnacentral:rRNA from 1 species
AUGAACGCUGGCGGCUUGCCUCAUACCUGCAAGUCGAGCGAACAGACGAGGAGCUUGCUCCUCUGACGUUAGCGGCGGACGGGUGAGUAACACGUGGAUAACCUACCUAUAAGACUGGGAUAACUUCGGGAAACCGGAGCUAAUACCGGAUAAUAUAUUGAACCGCAUGGUUCAAUAGUGAAAGACGGUUUUGCUGUCACUUAUAGAUGGAUCCGCGCCGCAUUAGCUAGUUGGUAAGGUAACGGCUUACCAAGGCGACGAUGCGUAGCCGACCUGAGAGGGUGAUCGGCCACACUGGAACUGAGACACGGUCCAGACUCCUACGGGAGGCAGCAGUAGGGAAUCUUCCGCAAUGGGCGAAAGCUUGACGGAGCAACGCCGCGUGAGUGAUGAAGGUCUUCGGAUCGUAAAACUCUGUUAUUAGGGAAGAACAAAUGUGUAAGUAACUAUGCACGUCUUGACGGUACCUAAUCAGAAAGCCACGGCUAACUACGUG